UACGGGGGGUGCGAGCGUUGUCCGGAAUCACUGGGCGUAAAGGGCGCGUAGGUGGUUUGAUAAGGGUGUGGUGAAAGUCCGGAGCUCAACUCCGGAUCUGCCGUGCCGACUGUCAAACUCGAGGGCUGUAGAGGCAGACGGAAUUCCGGGUGUAGCGGUGGAAUGCGUAGAGAUCCGGAGGAAGACCGGUGGCGAAGGCGGCACUCUGGGCCGGUACUGACGCUGAGGAGCGAAAGCGUGGGGAGCGAACAGG
rnacentral:rRNA from 1 species